GCCUGAAUCAGUGUGUGUGUUAGUGGAAGCGUCUGGAAAGGCGCGCGAUACAGGGUGACAGCCCCGUACACAAAAAUGCACAUACUGUGAGCUCGAUGAGUAGGGCGGGACACGUGGUAUCCUGUCUGAAUAUGGGGGGACCAUCCUCCAAGGCUAAAUACUCCUGACUGACCGAUAGUGAACCAGUACCGUGAGGGAAAGGCGAAAAGAACCCCGGCGAGGGGAGUGAAAAAGAACCUGAAACCGUGUACGUACAAGCAGUGGGAGCCUCUUAAUGGGGUGACUGCGUACCUUUUGUAUAAUGGGUCAGCGACUUAUAUUCUGUAGCAAGGUUAACCGAAUAGGGGAGCCGAAGGGAAACCGAGUCUUAACUGGGCGUUAAGUUGCAGGGUAUAGACCCGAAACCCGGUGAUCUAGCCAUGGGCAGGUUGAAGGUUGGGUAACACUAACUGGAGGACCGAACCGACUAAUGUUGAAAAAUUAGCGGAUGACUUGUGGCUGGGGGUGAAAGGCCAAUCAAACCGGGAGAUAGCUGGUUCUCCCCGAAAGCUAUUUAGGUAGCGCCUCGUGAAUUCAUCUCCGGGGGUAGAGCACUGUUUCGGCAAGGGGGUCAUCCCGACUUACCAACCCGAUGCAAACUGCGAAUACCGGAGAAUGUUAUCACGGGAGACACACGGCGGGUGCUAACGUCCGUCGUGAAGAGGGAAACAACCCAGACCGCCAGCUAAGGUCCCAAAGUCAUGGUUAAGUGGGAAACGAUGUGGGAAGGCCCAGACAGCCAGGAUGUUGGCUUAGAAGCAGCCAUCAUUUAAAGAAAGCGUAAUAGCUCACUGGUCGAGUCGGCCUGCGCGGAAGAUGUAACGGGGCUAAACCAUGCACCGAAGCUGCGGCAGCGACACUAUGUGUUGUUGGGUAGGGGAGCGUUCUGUAAGCCUGUGAAGGUGUACUGUGAGGUAUGCUGGAGGUAUCAGAAGUGCGAAUGCUGACAUAAGUAACGAUAAAGCGGGUGAAAAGCCCGCUCGCCGGAAGACCAAGGGUUCCUGUCCAACGUUAAUCGGGGCAGGGUGAGUCGACCCCUAAGGCGAGGCCGAAAGGCGUAGUCGAUGGGAAACAGGUUAAUAUUCCUGUACUUGGUGUUACUGCGAAGGGGGGACGGAGAAGGCUAUGUUGGCCGGGCGACGGUUGUCCCGGUUUAAGCGUGUAGGCUGGUUUUCCAGGCAAAUCCGGAAAAUCAAGGCUGAGGCGUGAUGACGAGGCACUACGGUGCUGAAGCGACAAAUGCCCUGCUUCCAGGAAAAGCCUCUAAGCAUCAGGUAACAUCAAAUCGUACCCCAAACCGACACAGGUGGUCAGGUAGAGAAUACCAAGGCGCUUGAGAGAACUCGGGUGAAGGAACUAGGCAAAAUGGUGCCGUAACUUCGGGAGAAGGCACGCUGAUAUGUAGGUGAAGCGACUUGCUCGUGGAGCUGAAAUCAGUCGAAGAUACCAGCUGGCUGCAACUGUUUAUUAAAAACACAGCACUGUGCAAACACGAAAGUGGACGUAUACGGUGUGACGCCUGCCCGGUGCCGGAAGGUUAAUUGAUGGGGUUAGCGGUAACGCGAAGCUCUUGAUCGAAGCCCCGGUAAACGGCGGCCGUAACUAUAACGGUCCUAAGGUAGCGAAAUUCCUUGUCGGGUAAGUUCCGACCUGCACGAAUGGCGUAAUGAUGGCCAGGCUGUCUCCACCCGAGACUCAGUGAAAUUGAACUCGCUGUGAAGAUGCAGUGUACCCGCGGCAAGACGGAAAGACCCCGUGAACCUUUACUAUAGCUUGACACUGAACAUUGAGCCUUGAUGUGUAGGAUAGGUGGGAGGCUUUGAAGUGUGGACGCCAGUCUGCAUGGAGCCGACCUUGAAAUACCACCCUUUAAUGUUUGAUGUUCUAACGUGGGCCCCUUACCGGGGUUGCGGACAGUGUCUGGUGGGUAGUUUGACUGGGGCGGUCUCCUCCUAAAGAGUAACGGAGGAGCACGAAGGUUGGCUAAUCCUGGUCGGACAUCAGGAGGUUAGUGCAAUGGCAUAAGCCAGCUUGACUGCGAGCGUGACGGCGCGAGCAGGUGCGAAAGCAGGUCAUAGUGAUCCGGUGGUUCUGAAUGGAAGGGCCAUCGCUCAACGGAUAAAAGGUACUCCGGGGAUAACAGGCUGAUACCGCCCAAGAGUUCAUAUCGACGGCGGUGUUUGGCACCUCGAUGUCGGCUCAUCACAUCCUGGGGCUGAAGUAGGUCCCAAGGGUAUGGCUGUUCGCCAUUUAAAGUGGUACGCGAGCUGGGUUUAGAACGUCGUGAGACAGUUCGGUCCCUAUCUGCCGUGGGCGCUGGAGAACUGAGGGGGGCUGCUCCUAGUACGAGAGGACCGGAGUGGACGCAUCACUGGUGUUCGGGUUGUCAUGCCAAUGGCACUGCCCGGUAGCUAAAUGCGGAAGAGAUAAGUGCUGAAAGCAUCUAAGCACGAAACUUGCCCCGAGAUGAGUUCUCCCUGACUCCUUGAGAGUCCUGAAGGAACGUUGAAGACGACGACGUUGAUAGGCCGGGUGUGUAAGCGCAGCGAUGCGUUGAGCUAACCGGUACUAAUGAACCGUGAGGCUUAACCUUACAACGCCGAAG
rnacentral:rRNA from 1 species